AUUGAACGCUGGCGGCAUGCCUAACACAUGCAAGUCGAACGGCAGCACAGUAUGUAGCAAUACAUAUGGGUGGCGAGUGGCGGACGGGUGCGUAAUAUGUAGGGAUCUGCCCUGAAGCGGGGGACAACCCGGGGAAACCCGGGCUAAUACCGCAUAAUACUCUACGGAGGAAAUCUGGCACGCAAGUGCUGGGGCUUUAGGAUGAACCUACAUCCGAUUAGCUAGUUGGUGAGGUAAUAGCUCACCAAGGCAAUGAUCGGUAGCUGGUCUGAGAGGAUGACCAGCCACACUGGGACUGAGACACGGCCCAGACUCCUACGGGAGGCAGCAGUGGGGAAUAUUGGACAAUGGGGGAAACCCUGCUCCAGCAAUGCCGCGUGGGUGAAGAAGGCCUUCGGGUUGUAAAGCCCUUUAGGCGGGGAAGAAGGUUAUAGGGUGAUAAGCCUUAUAGCUAGACGGUACCCGCAGAAUAAGCACCGGCUAACUCUGUGCCAGCAGCCGCAGUAA
rnacentral:rRNA from 1 species